AGGGCAAUUAUUCGCCAUAAAUCGUUUUCUGCUGAAUUUCUGAAUGUAUAGAAGGAUUUCAUGUCUGCAGAUAAUGUAUUACAAGAGGCUGUUGUGUGCCAGUGGACAAGCUGGUGAGAAGCUGAACACUAAUAGCUUGAAUCCUGGUGAAUGGACUGCCUGCAUAAGCGUCGUCAUGAUUUUUCCACGUGUAAUAUGAAUGCAAGCCAGUUUGCCUUAAAGCAUCCCUUCUUGGAAAAUAUCUUCUAGUGUUUCAUCACAAAAAUCAGUCAAAAACUGUUUCUCAUGAUUUGAAAAAUACGUAUAAAGGAAGUCAAAUUUAAUUGAUAAAUUGUGCAUGCUGGGAUUGUAUACUAUAUCAUAUACAUUUUUAAUAUAUUUUCUGUAUCUCUAAUGUUGAGAAUUUUGAUGUUUUAAUUUAACCCUGAAUAAAAUGUUAAGUACUAUAAGCAAA